rnacentral:lncRNA from 1 species
UUCGUCGCAUCAUUCGAGUCCAAAUCAACCAUCACAACAUCAUACUUAUCCUCCUCAGUUAUGCCAUCUGCAGCUGCAAUCCUCUUGAUGUGUCUGAUCCCAUCUUCAGCAAACAAAUGGACGAGGUUACUGUGAUCAUUUAAUCCGAAAUGCCUCUUGGCAACUUCCAACACAACCUCGUCUUCCUCGACUCCGUCAACCUCGAAAUCGAGCUGAUCGGCCAAGAAUCCGAGCAAUGCGCCGCCUCCGACUCCCAAACAGAGGGCUCUCGGCCUGAAUCCGGCUCGCCCCCGCCCCUCCAAGAAGCGAUGGAUCACGGCAAUGCCGGCGACCAUGGGGCUCAGGUAGGGCUGGACUAAAGCCCCCUUAUCCAAUUCAAACUCCAACUCAUCGAAAUUAUCCGAGAUUGAAUCGUUUCUAGGUCGAAUUCUCAUCUGGGAUUGCACGAAAUUGGGCAUUCUCUUAAACCUCAGCCUCCUCCUAAAUUCACUAACCCCAUCACCAUUCACCAGCUCGACAUUCUCAAUCAACAUCUCCCCCACGCGGGGCCCCUCGCAGAUCUCCAGGAUUGAAUUUUUAACCACCUCGUCUUCGUAAAUCAACAAGGGCACUUCUGGGGUUUCGCCGCGACCUAGAAAUUCCGAUUUGGGGGUGAGCAGUAACAGCAAGGGGGCGAGAUUCUGGUGGGGCGGCGGCGAGGGGGAGGGGCGGGGAGGGGAAUUGGGGCAAGAUGGGGGAUCGCCGAGAAGGAUUAGGCGGGAGAGGGGGUGGGGGGUGGGGGAGGAGAGGAGGAGCUGGAGGUGGCCGGAGAAGGUGGAGAAUAUCCAGUCCGACUCGCGGCCAUGUGGCACCCACAUGGCUGCGGUGGAGGAGGGCGCCGCGGCGGAGGGGGAGUCGAGGACGGCGGCGCGGAGGAGGCGGCGGUGGAGGGGAGUGUGCAGGUGAUGUAGCGGGAAGGGACUGUGGUUUCGAAUAUUGAUGGAUCGAGCGACAUUAUUGAUUAAUUCUAGGAAUUCCCGUUUUAUGCUAUAUAAGUUCAAACUCGACUAUCUAUUGUAGUUUAGUGGUAUUUCUUCACUUAAUUUCAUUUUUAAGGUUUAUGAAUGUAGAGUUUUUGUUUUUUGAAAUAAAGUGUAUGAAUAUAGAGUCGAGAUUUGUAAUAUGGUACUAUCAUUUUUUCACAAAUGAAAUGAUUGAGAGAGAGAAAGUGUGUUUCGCGAAAGCUCUAUAAAGUUUAUGAAUAUAGAGUUGAGAUUUGUAAUCUGGUAUCAAUUUUUCACAAAUAAAAUGACUAGAGAGUAAGAGAGAGAAGAUGUUUCGAUGACCUUAUAAGCUCUUUAAAAUAAUUUAUAAGUUGUUUAUAUAGUUAUAAGUUCAUUUAAAGUAAUUGACAAAACUAGCUGAUAAAUAAGUUAUAAGAGCACCCGCAUCGCGGGUACUCGAGGAGGUCCUCGAGGAGACCAUCCCACUCGAGGAGGGCGAUGCGGCGAGGAGCUCCUCGAGGCCUCCUCGAGUUAUCGAGUAUCCUCGAUAGGAAAUGGUGAUGGCGCGUGCAAUGCACGCGCCCAAUUAAAAAAAAAAAAAAUGAAAAAAUCGAAAAUUCGAAUUUUUAUACACUUUUUGACUGCAGCUCCUCGGUCUCCGCACCUUUGACCGACGAAUUUAUUUAUUUAUUUAUUAUUUUUUUUUUUUAAUUUUCCNACCAUACAAUUACACAUAGUUAAUUUGCACGCGAAAUAAUUCAUUCAAUACCCCAAAAUUAAUUUCCAUAAUGUUUUACUUGAUGUUCUAGAGAAAUGUCUAUUUGCAGAUUUUCAAAUUUGAUGCUUUUAUAUAAACCAUUUUGUACUAAAAUAUCUUCUUGUUGUUGUAUCAUGGCCAACCAGAUGAGGGUAUUGAAAUAUCUUGUUGUUGUUGUAUUAUGACCAGCCAGAUUCUUUCAAGCGAAAGAAAUAAAAUGUGCUAUCACGAACGAACUAAAACAUGCAAAACAAAUAUAUGAUUAAAUUAUAUUUUAUCUUCUAAUCCUAGAACUGGUUAAUUAGAUUUUAUCAUCUAAUCCUUGACCUCGAUUAUAUUUUAUCUUCUAAUUGUAUAAUGUUUAAUUAGAUUUUAUCAUCUAAUCGUUGAGCUCAUUUAAGCAUUUAAGUACUCGAGCUCAAUUCAAGCUUCUGUUUUGUUGAUCAAGUUUAAACAUUUAAGACUUUAAGUACUGGAGCUCAAUUCAAACUUCUAUUUACUUAUGUUUUGUUGAUCAAACUCGACUCAUAUGAUAUUCAAUAAUAUCAAAUUCUAGUUUGAGUUUAAACUUGACUAGUUAAAUAUCCGUACAUGUAACCUUGUUGAUCUUAGUCAUGCACUAAUUCGGUUGAAAAUAAUAAAUUAAAUGUAUCGUUACAUUACUUUAAGGGGACAUUUGAUUUGAUACAUAUGAUAUUAUAAGAUUAAUAAAAUUAAAAAAAUAUUUAAAUAAUUAUUAAUAAUUAUCCAAUUACAUUACUAGGGGUUAUAAGCUUAGAUAAACUAAUAAUAUGGUCUUAAAUGAGUGUUUGGUAGUCCAUAUUACUAAUAUGGGCGGCCCGUAAUAUAUGCAAGGCCCGAGAUUAAUACACUAUUACUCCUUGAUAUUCCUUGAUAUGUAAUCUCAUCAUUUUGGUGGGAUAAGUUAUCUCAAGGCCAAGAUAACUUUUUCUUUCUCCAUGUUACCCUUCAAAAAUAAAUUAAUAUGUAUAAUUUUUUAAAUAGGAUAGGGAUAAAAUUGGAAGUUCAUAAGUUAAUCUUGAGUUUUAGAUAGAGUACCAAACAACCAUUCCUUCAUAUCCAUAUUUUUAUCUUAUCUACCAAACACAAGGUAUAUAUUAAUAAUCACCUCUUAUAUAUAUUAUUUAUCUUUACAUUAUUUAUCUUGCCAUAACUUAACAAACCUAUCAAACGAGCAAUGUGCCAUCAGGAACUAAAAGGAUGUCAAGCAAACAUUUGAUUAAAUUAGAUUUUAUCAUCUAAUCAUUGAGAUUUUUCUAAUGGAAUCUACAUAACGACUUGAAACAACCAACUUCAACUUGUUAAAAAACUCACUACCAUUCCCAUCCAAAGCCUCCCCAACAACUGACUUCGCCGCAACAACAACAACAUUCUCCUCAUUUCCAACAUCAAUCUCAUACACCUCCUCAAAAACCUCAUCAACUCCGCAGAUCAACUCUUCAUAAAACAGUUUGCUCGAAGGGAUCACAUUCGCGACGAGGAUCCCCUCGUCGCGAAGAACAUCCCUCGCUGCUCGAAGCACGGAGCUCUCCACGAACUCCGAGGGUGGCGCGGAGACGCCAUUCGUUGCAUCAUUCGAGUCCAAAUCAACCAUCACAACAUCAUACUUAUCCCCCUCAGUUAUCCCAUCUGCAGCUGCAAUCCUCUUGAUGUGUCUGAUCCCAUCUUCAGCAAACAAAUGGAUGAGGUUACUGUGAUCAUUUAAUCCGAAAUGCCUCUUGGCAACUUCCAACACAACCUCGUCUUCCUCGACUCCGUCAACCUCGAAAUCGAGCUGAUCGGCCAAGAAUCCGAGCAAUGCGCCGCCUCCGACUCCCAAACAGAGAGCUCUCG